AACGGAGGGAAACGCCGGAGCUCUCUCGCCCCUCUGUUUCCUCUCUCUCUCUCUGUCUGCAUAGGCUGAGAACAUCACAUGCGAAGGUGAAAGCUUCUUCCUUGCUGAGGCUAACAGCUUGUUCACCGAUACAGCCUGAUGGGUUUUCAUCUUCUUUGCCGUCCGCCAUGCACUUGAGGCUACGAAGUAGCAACUCAUUUCAAUUCCAUUGAAUCCGGAUUCAAGUUCCUCUGAAGUUCACUUUCCUGCUAGAAGAAGCGCUUUGAUUUUUCUGGGCAUUUCAGUUCUGAUUUCUGGUAUGGCUAGUGACAGUGGUCUGAGAGACUUGACUUGAAUUGUGACUUUUCUUGUUGCCGAAGGUUGGUUGCAGCUACACUAGACGAUGAUUGCUUCUCCUUGGAGCACCCCAGACGCCAUUAACUGGAGAAGCCCAUGUCUUUUCUCCGUUGCGCCGAGGUUCGGCUCCCAAGACGCAAUUGCUCUGCUCCGUAAGUGUACCAGUUUUAAUCAGCUUAAGCAAACUCACGCGAAGAUUAUUCGAAACGGCUUGUCUCAGGACCAGUUGCUCGUCAGGAAGUUGAUCGGGCUUUGCUCGACUUAUGGUAGAAUGGACUAUGCAGCUCUGGUGUUUCAUCAGGUGGAGACACCCCACGCUUUUACUUGGAACCUCAUGAUUAGAGAGUACACCAUCAGUGGUAGUUCUAGGCAAGCCAUUUUACUGUACAACCUUAUGAUUUGUGAAGGAUAUGCUCCUGAUAAGUUUACGUUUCCAUUUGUUAUCAAAGCCUGCUCAGCCUUAUCGGUGAUUGAUAAGGGAAGAGAGUUGCACGGGUUAGCCAUCAAAACUGGGUUAUUCAGGGACUUGUUUGUGCACAAUACUUUGAUGGAUUUGUAUUUUAAGUGUGGGGAUAGGGAAUACGGGUGCAAGGUGUUUGAAAAUAUGCCUGUUCGGAGUGUAGUCUCAUGGACAACGAUGAUGAAUGGGCUCAUUGCCAAUGGGGACUUGGAUUCUGCCCUAGAGAUCUUUGAGGGUAUGCCGGAGAAGAAUGUUGUUUCAUGGACUGCAAUGAUUAAUGGGUUUGUGAAGAAUCAGAGGCUUCAGGAGGCCUUUGACCUUUUCAGAAGGAUGCAGCUCGAAAACGUCAAGCCAAAUGAGUAUACACUCGUAGGCUUGCUGAGAGCAUGUAUAGAACUGGGAAGCCUGAAACUUGGGAGAUGGAUACAUGAAUAUGCGGUCGAGAAUGGUUUCAGGCUGGGAGUCUUCCUGGGAACUGCUCUCAUCGACAUGUACAGCAAGUGCGACAGUUUAGCUGAUGCGAGGCAAGUGUUUGUUGAGAUGGAGGCCCGGAGCUUAGCCACGUGGAACUCAAUGAUCACCAGCUUGGGUGUGCAUGGGUUUGGAACUGAAGCUUUAUCUCUUUAUGAGCAGAUGGAGAAGGCAAAUGUGGCGCCAGAUGCAAUCACAUUUGUUGGAGUUCUGAGCGCCUGCGUGCACACAAAUAAUCUGGAGAAGGGAGUUGAGUUCUUCAAGCAAAUGACUGAACGUUAUGGUAUCCCACCCAUUUCAGAACAUUACAACUGCCUAAUUGAACUGUACAACCGUGCUAGAGAGCUAGUUGAGGAGGACGAAUCAAUGAUGGACAUGCCCGUGAAGUCUGACCAAGAUUUUUUUCCCGAAUCAUUGGAGAAAACUAUUUCACAUGGUGAUUCGGUUAUGGAGAACUCACCUUUCACCCAGGCAGAGCAAAUUUUGGGUGCCCGUCGAGACUUCCAUCUGCAUGAUCAGCAUGCAGGCUCCAAAUGGGAUGUGGGCUGAUAAUGAAUGGUUCCUGUUGCUUCAUGCCCGUGGACAUGGUAUUUGUUUAUAUGUUUUUAAGUGAUUUACACCGGAAAAGUUUUGGCCUUUGAGUCAUAGCAUCACUCCUGGUCAGAAGGCCUCAUUGUGCAGAUGUCUCGUGGUGUUGUUGUUUAUGGAGCCGAGCUGAAGUUUCUGUGAAUUGAUUGCUGCUCCUGCUGAGGGUAAUAAAGCUUUUAAAAGGGUUAGCAGAGGAUCUUGAGUCUGAACAAUGUGUGAAGGAUUAUUGUUUGAGUUGGUUCUUGAGACCUGGAUCUCUGUUGAUGCUUUGCACAAGAUUGAGAGGCAUAUUGUAGCUGAUUUGGAUCAAAAUGCAGACUUCUCGGACCUGAACGAGAUGGUAGCAACCAAGUGAGGUUAGUCGGACUCAUUCUUGUUUUGAUAAGGACAGUAUUGCACUCGCACAAUGAGAUCUUGCUCUUUUGCUUUGUAGGAGAAAAGCGUGAUGCAUGAAAAGUGAUUGUUACGGGGGUUGUGAUCAGGAAAUGGUCGCCGCACGCGAUUCUUGUAUUGGCUAAUUCUCAUCAGUAAGGAAUUGGUUCCUCCUGUGAUACUGUAAAUAUGUGAACAACGCGAGAUAUUAUGGACACCGAUAGUAUUUUUCGAUCU